rnacentral:miRNA from 1 species
UGCCGGGGCGCUGGGGAGGGGCAGC